UGAUGCUGGGUAGCUUGCUCUUUUGGACAGAGCCUGACUGGUUGGGACUGUUUACAUUCCUCCCAGGUCAUUGACACAGAUAGGAUGACUAGUGUGAUAACAGCCUGGGUCUCUUGUAGUCUCAGAGGUCAACUCCAGAACUCUCAUUGACCAUCCUUUUCUCCUCAGAUCUGCAGCUUCUUUUGGACAUGUUCAGACAAACCUCUUCUUCACCAUAUGUGCAUCCUUUCUCAUCUAGGCAAGUGUUCAGUGAACUGGGUGCAGGAAGCACAGUGUCUAGAAACAGACAUGUUGGUGGAAACUGCUUUUCCUUCUUGAUCCUAGAGCUUGUUUAUGGGACAGUAGCAGAGCAGCUAGGACAAACCAGUCCCUGAAAUCAGGGCUUCCCAUGGAGAGCCCAUUGAAUUCUCCCUCAGGAAGUCACAUGGGAAGAAAAGGGUCAUCAUUCCUGCCUCAUUAGGUCCUGAAUUCCACCAGAAAUAAACCAGCUGUUAUCUGAAAGGCCACAGGUCUAGGGUGGUGAAGGAAUCUUUCUGCCAGCCUUAUCCAUUGUCUAACAUAAGCUUUUUCUUCUAGGUGCCUGGCCAUAUCCUGAAUCGUGGACCCCGAGAAUUCCUGACCUGAGUAUGUGCACACUGAACAUUAGUGACAUUGAGGAACAAGAGCGCCUCUCCUCUCUCCUUCCUAGCAGACUAGCAUGCACUGUCUGAGCUCCAGAGGAACUCAGAGGCUGCACACAGCAACAGGAGGACAUGCUGUGGAGAACAAUGACAUGGUUUCUCUUCCACCAUCCAACUACAGACAACCACCCCAAAUUACCAACAAGAUCUGGGGAAUCUACAGGAGCGUCCCCCUGUGGAAGCCUCCCAAUAACAAAGAACACCUGCCUGAGCAGGUAAAGAAAUAUCUCCGAAGAGCCUUGGAAAUUAAAUGUGCUUCUCUUUCUGAAUUCAAGAAUGGAUCUCUGAGAAGGGCAGUAUCCAUGGACCACCUGUCCCAGGCCCCCAGGCCUCCACUAACAUGAAGAGGCAGAACUUGAGGUCAUACAUUUGGCCCAUUUCUCACUGAUUUAGGCAGAAAUAAUUUACAAAGAAAUACUGAAGUAUUUCAUUAGAAUUCCAACAUAAUUUCUAUAAAUUGGCAUUCAAAAUGCUUUGACCACUGGAGGAGAGAAAUCCAAACAAUAUGAGCUCUCAGCUUCUACCAGGUGUUAUUCUAAAGGUGACAGAUGUUUGCACUUCAUCUAUAGACUCUGCAAAAUCCAGUCUGAUGCUCAAACAAAAGAUGUAACAGCCAAUGGGACCUAAACCUAGAAGACAUGGCAGAGGACAGGAGAGAUCCCUCCAGACCCUGAUCUUCUUCUUCCAGGACUUCCCACCAAGCCUCAGAGAUCCACAAAGACCUAUAUGGAAGUAAUGGAGACUGGAUACAUGGAACAGAACAAAAGCUCAGAAACAGACCCAGUGAGAUCCUGCCAGCUGAUUUUCUCAUAGUCACCCAUGGAAAUCAAGGCAAAGAGAAUGGCUUGUCCACAAAUGACUGCAGAAGAAGAUUUAAAAACAAGCCAUAGGGAACCCAUUGAAAAACUGAACACAGCCACCAUUUCAACUGACCUCAAAAACAAACACUAUAAUGCUCACAUAAAGUUAUAGAAUAGGACUACAUAAGUUCCUGCCUUAUAGAAAGGAGGAUCAGAAAUAACACGGAGAUGAACUGUGGACUCGGGAGCCCUGAUGCCAACAGCCAUGAAAAUACAGAGGCUGGAGCAUGGCUGGAACAGACACUCCACCAGGACCUCUAGAGAGAGCCUGGCCCCUGACACACCCCAGCAGACAACAAAUCCCUGACAGUGAAUGUUGUGUGGCUAAGAGGAGGGGUGGAGGUGUAUUGUGUGCUGUGUGGUGUGAGGAGGGCUGAAACCCAUCACAUUGUGUGGGAUGGAGAUGAGCUGUCCAGCUGAUCUGAUAACAGCACUGUAUGGAUGGUCCAGUCAGCUGGGGAAAGCAGCAGGUCUGACACGUAGAUACUCACAUGUGCUACCCAUACCCCUCCCCUUGUUAACAACGUACAUACAGGGUCAGUGUAAGGACAUGAAGGACGCCCCUCACCCACACUCACCACAUAGUUCUCUAGGUAUCAGGACUUGAUAUUCAACUCCCCUUCUGCUGUCCCACACACAGUGCUAGAUUCUAGACCAUGCUAGACAUGCCUCCAACCACAAUGUACUAAGACAUGGGAAAAGGUAUCAGACCCUGUUGGACACUUGACCUCCUGACAAGGACACACAGUUACUGCUUGGUUCAAAGACUCCUGGAAUCUUCCUGCACUGACGUACAACACUAGGUAUAAUGCAGUGUGGGACACUACAGCCAUGCAUCCUCACUUGCACUACCAGCUGUCAGACCAUGAUAACCAACCUCUACAUCACAUCACAUCACACACACACACACACACACACACACACACACACACACACACACACCCUAAUACACUUACUUCAAAGUAUCAGCCCAUCAAUACUUUCCACAAAAUCACACAUUGACUGCUGUGUUUCAGCCCUUACUGAACAAAUGUUCACAAACAACUCCCAUGUAUUCUUAAACUGGGAUGGAGAAUGUCACUCAUGUAUCCCUUAUUAACAGCUCCCUAUCAGGCCAUACUGGAUACUCUCUUGCCACUGUACCCAAACACUCUGCUACUAUUGGACCCCACUUGACACCCUAACAUCACUGAAAUUCCACAUACACUGCUAGGGUUCAGGCCCUCUUGAAUAGCACACCCCACUGCCACAAUCUACAGUGUUAGUAUCAGGGCCCAAAGGAUAUCACAUUUCAUCAACCCAUAUAUCCGUGUUGGAUACCAGACCUGCUGGGCAUUGCAAACUCCAUGGCAAUUCCCACAAGGCUAGCUGAGGGCCCUGGAAUGCACCCAUCACCCUGCAGCUGCCUCACAUGCACUGCUAGGUGUCAGGCUCUGCUGGCUCCCUCAGUGCCACACACACACUCUGAAGUGUCAAGCACAUUUGGACAUCAUAUCACACACUUCCAACCUACUUCAAAAUGGAUGAUCAGACCUUGAUGGACAUCAGCUCAGCCAUAAGCUGACACACACUCCGUAGGGAUUGUGCAGAGCUUGACACCCCGUUCUUCCACUGCUCCCCUCUGACAUGCAGUUAUCAUCAAACACACUGGACACACCACCCCUGUGACCACACACCCACUCUAGGUACCAGGUCCAGUUUGACUUCAUUCCCCACAUUAGUCGACAGCCAUCAGAUCAUGCUGGGAACUUCUUCCCUAGUAGGUCUUCCACAAUACUUAGAAAUUUGCACAUCUGGACACCCUCCUUCUGCUGAAGACACACCCACACUGCUAGGCAUCAGCUUCUACUGGACUCCUUCCUACUCUAUACCAUGUGCUGGGUCUCAGGUUCUACUGCUGGUUACUGGGUCAUGCUGGACAUUAAUCCCUGUCCAAACCUCAGUGCAUAUAAAGUGCUGUGUGUCAGGUUCACUUGAACACAGGCUCCAUCACACAUGACAUGCUAGGUAUCAGAGAAGGUUGACACACACCCUUACCCCUGAUAUUUACUACUGGCUCAGUGAACACUGCAAUUUUAAAGGCUCUGCUAACACCUCCAUCACUGACAUAUCAAGUUUUUUGCUGUCAUGCUCUUGCUACCAUUCUGUGCAGAUUUCAGCCAUGUAUAUUGAAGUACAUUGCAUGCAUAUACAAUAAUUGACUUCAAGCCUUACCCAAAAUAGCACCAUUCUGUUGACAACAUACACUCCCAGACAGGGGCAUGGGUGUAAGCAUGGCUGAAAAUUAGCAGGGCUUUUGCAGCAGCAGGAUGGAUGCAGGAAGAGAAACUUACUAGAUGUGGCCUCUUAUCAUAAUAUCCAGUUUAGGACUGGGGAGUCCUGAGGAUGUAAUACCCAGUAGUGCAUCCAGGCCUCAGGCAGGUGUACAGGAAAGUGUACAGUGUGUUUCAGGCUAUAUGGCAGGGGUAGGAGUGUCCAGCAGGGCAGUGGUACAUCGGUGGGUCUGGAAGCAGGCCUGGGGGGCAGUAGCUAGUAAGGUCUGUUGUGGGGGCAGUUCCUGAUAGUGGGAUGAGUCUCUGUGGGAGAAGAGGAGUAUGCUCUGCUGUGUGUCUUAUGAACACAACCGUGUAUGUUGAGUGGCAGCAGUUGGGAGCUAUCUAGAUCCAUUAGGACAUGACACCUAGCAGUCUAUGUAGGAUACCAGGGGAGAUUCCAGCCAUGCCUGUUCAAUAGUAAUAUAUGUGGAGCAGUGCUAAAGAUAGAGAUGUUAUAAGGAAAAGUUUGUGUGUGUGUGUGUGUGUAUAAUAUAUACGUGUAUGUGUAUGUGUGUGUGCACUUGUGCUGAACUUGUGGUAAUGGUCAAUGUGACAAUGCUGCAUUGUCGUGGAGAUAGCUGUCUUAGAGAAAACGAGUCAGUGACUAGGAAAAUAGAAGCCCAGGGUCAGUAUAUUAUCAGUGAAGUUGAUCAGAGAAAGUGUCUUCAAGUUAUAGACUUGAGAGAUUUUGGAGGAUAAGGGUAGAAAACAAGAAAUGUGGGAGUUGAUGAAUACAGGUCUGGGGGAGGAAUUUGACUUUAUUUUUGCUGUACCAAGAAGCCAACUUUUCUCUUUGCCUACAACACUAGGUGUCAUCAUCUGUAAGGUGUCCCCACACUUAAAUUUAAACCCACCCCCACAUUGCUAGGUGUCAGGUGCUACUCUGAAAAAUGUCUUCUACAGCAGGUGCUAAACACACAUGCCUAGGCGUGAGGUCCUGCAGGGUCAACUGUCCACUAAAGAAAAUGCUCCUCUCAUACAGUUGGGAAGCCUGUCCUCCAUGAGAUCAACAACGCAAUGGCUAAAGCCCCAUGCACAGGGCUGGGUGUCUGGUCUUUCUAAGGAUGCCUUUACCUACAGCCACAGAAGCCACAAACAGCUGCCCACAUACUCUAACACAAGUGUCAGGGUCUAGUGUUUAUCUCUUCCGUUACACCACAUAUCAUACAUGGUUAGGUCACAUUCCUGAUAGGAAUCACCUCAGCCACAGCAGUGCCACACACCCAGAGCUAGGUGCCACAUCCUGGGACCAUACAGUUGCACAGCUACUUUUCUAGUACUGGUUUCCCUCCCCUAUAGUCAAACGCCAGGUACACAGUCGCACACUCAGGCACACACGCACUCAUGCACUCUCAUCUAGCCGUCACUUCAACAAGGUCUCCACCAUUCAGACAAAGCCCUAUUUACACAGCCAUCGAAGUGCUGCCCUUCUGGGUGUCCAUCCCCUGCAGCCAAACACAUACACAGAGAGACAGGAGAUAGAGACAAAGACAGGGAGAGACAGAGACAGACAGAGACAGACAGACAGAGAGACACAGAGUCUGAGGUCAGGUCCUGCUGUUCCCACUCCACAACAGACGAAGCUGUCUACUCGGAGCUAGGUGACUGGUCCUGAUACAUACCUCUUUUCCUAUAUUCACAGUGCAAUACUCUUACACAGCCAGUCUACCAGUGUGCACCCCCUCCCCUAUAAUCAAAUGCUAGGUACACAGUCACACCCUCAGAAACACACUUAGGCACGCAUGCUCCUACAAAUGCCUUCACGAAUUCAGACCACUCUCAGCUAGCUAUCAGGACCUAGAAGACAGCCACCACACAAGGAAAGCCCCACAUAUACUUCUAGGUGUAAAGUCCUGUAAGGUAGAGGUAUCACCCAUACAACAAACAAACACACAUCUCUAGGUGUUAGGUCCUGUGAGGUGUCCCACAUAGAGCCAAAGCCCUAUUUACACACAGCCAACAAGGUGCUUCUGCUGCUAGGUGUCCAUUACCUACUGCCAAUCUCUCGGCCACCUCUGCUCUCCGUUCCUCUGCUCUCCUCUCCUCUCCUUACUUUCUCUCUCCCUACUCCUCUCUCUGUUUCUCUCUCUCUCUCUCAUACACACACAAAUACACACACAAAAAAACACACACAAACACAUGCACACACAAAAUGUAUGUGCACGCCCUGCAAGGUAAAACCUUACAUCUAGCCCAUCUCUUAUACACAUAUACAACUAUGUGUCUGUUACUUCUAGACAUUUCCUCUACACAGCAAAAGCCCCACAUACACACAUGGGGCUAGAUUUCUACUCCUGCUGGGUACAAUCUCCCUAGGAGGAUCUCAGGAAGAUCUCUAGAAGGACAUGGUAUCAAGCUCUGUAAGAGAAACAUACAUACAGCCAAAGCUAGACACAGAAAGCUAGUGUCAGAUACUUUUGGUAUCCCUUCCUCUCUCUGGACUUCCAUAUUUUAUACACACUUUAGAAGUUUGUGAUUCAGAAACAGCUGAUGGAGAUGAUCUCUGGCAUUUGUCUUUCUGGAUCUGGGUUCUCUCAAUCAAUAUCUUGUCCACAUCCAUCCAAUACACAGAAAGAUGGCUUAAAAACAAAGAGGAUUAUUGUGUUGAGUAUCUGAAACUAGACUUGUGAUUUUGCAGCUGCAUGCAGUUUACAGGACCACUUCAUUAUUAACACCUAAUGUGGGAGAUCCAGGUUGACUGUGGGUGCUACUCUGCCUGUACAUUGUUCCUGAAUCGUGUAUGAAAGUAAACUGAAGUAGCUGUGAAGAGAAAGUCAGGAAAGGGCUAUCCUCUGAGUCUGCUAGAGUUCCUACAAAAGCUUCCCUAAUGAUGGACAUUGACCAGGACAUGGGAGCCAAAUAAACUCUUUCUACCACA